GCAGCCGCGGUAAUACGUAGGUGGCAAGCGUUGUCCGGAAUUACUGGGUGUAAAGGGAGCGCAGGCGGGACUGCAAGUUGGAUGUGAAAUACCGGGGCUCAACCCCGGGGCUGCAUCCAAAACUGUAGUUCUUGAGUGAAGUAGAGGUAGGCGGAAUUCCGAGUGUAGCGGUGAAAUGCGUAGAUAUUCGGAGGAACACCAGUGGCGAAGGCGGCCUACUGGGCUUUAACUGACGCUGAGGCUCGAAAGUGUGGGGAGCAAACAGGAUUAGAUACCCC
rnacentral:rRNA from 1 species